ACCUGGUUGGCUCAGUGGUGGAGCGUCUGCCUUUGGCUCAGGUCAUGAUCGCUAGGUUCUGGGAUGGAGUCCCGCAUCAGGUU
rnacentral:tRNA from 1 species